rnacentral:rRNA from 1 species
UACGUAGGGUGCAAGCGUUGUCCGGAAUUAUUGGGCGUAAAGAGCUCGUAGGCGGUCUGUCGCGUCGGCUGUGAAAAACUCGGGGCUCAACUCCGAGCUUGCAGUCGAUACGGGCAGGCUAGAGUUCGGCAGGGGGAGACUGGAAUUCCUGGUGUAGCGGUGAAAUGCGCAGAUAUCAGGAGGAACACCGGUGGCGAAGGCGGGUCUCUGGGCCGAUACUGACGCUGAGGAGCGAAAGCGUGGGGAGCGAACAGG